AUAACAAAGGUUAACUUCUCUAGUCCAUUUGGUUCUCAUAGGUUUGUAAUGCAGUAUAUAAUACAAAAAGAGUUUUUGCCGGAGUUAUUUUUAUUUAUAUUUAUAUUGUGCCUCGUGAAGACCUUUCUGGUCAAAACGUUGCGCUUGGUUGCAGUAAAAUUUUCUAGAGCUUUAAAUGACAUCUACCUUUUUGAUUUUAUAUGGACAAACAUUUAUUUUGUCCAUCUAAAUACACUCAUGCAGAAAAACAGGCUUGGUUUGGAUCUAAACAACCUUGUUUUGUAGAGGUCAGUGCAGCUGGUAGCCCUUAUGAGACAUAAGGACAAACUUAAUUGUUCAUCAUGUUCUGUUGAUUGUCCUAACUGCCAUUUUAGAGGUACUCAUCUUUUAUGGUGCCUACUGACCUAAUGCAUAAACAUUACUACUAGAAGCGCACUAGCCAGAUGGGAUUUAAUCUUUGUCAGCUGAAGAUCCGGAUGAAAUAUACCAAGCAUAUUCUCCCACCAUUCCUGAUUUCUAAAACGCACUAACAACAUGCGGCGUGGUCUUGCGGUUAUCAGAGCAGACACGAAAGAUGCUGCUCUCCGUAUGUUUUUCUGUUGUCUAAACUUGUAAAAGUGUCUCUUGUUAAAGUGUCUAAACCCUUAAAAAACAGUAAGCUUGUUUUUGUUCAGCAAAAUAGAUACAAAACACUAACAUAUGCAUAGCUCACCAGGUUGCUUAGCGACAUGCAAUUGAGUUAGACUAGAAGAAAACGCAGCACGAGAUGAGUGGCUAUGACUUAGCUUGAUUUUAAGCUGUUAAUGUCCACUAAGAAGACUCCUUCAGACCAAAUGCAAACUCAUUAAACAUGCUCAACACUAUCCUUACAAGUGUGUCCAAAGGAUAUCAUUAGUCUCUCUGGACUUUUACCAGAUUGUGAGUGACAAUCAUAUAGAUAAAGGAAGAUAAGGUAAAUUAGAAAAGCUAUCAUUGUCAAUUCACACUGCUAAGUGUUAAAGAUAAGCGUUACAGAAAAAAGUGUGGCUGGUGAAGACAGAACUGAGUUCGGUUGUGCAGUGUGGACAUCAUGGUGUGCUGAAUUUGAGCUACCUUGUAUUAUUGAGUGAUUAGAGUUACACACUGCCCCCUUGUGGCACUAAGUAAAACUACUUGCUUCAACAGAAGCGAUUUCUGUUUCCAAACGCUGUGGCCUAUUUGGUCUUCCUCCUUAUAAGCAUUAAGAUCAUAUUUUCAAGGAAGUGAAAAAAGUUCUUCAUAUUACAAUAACACUGAUCAAUCAUUUGCACUUAUAUUCAAACUAACUAAUCCAAGUCUAAACUCUGUCUAAAAAACUGUCGUACUAUUUAGCACAUUACUGUCAUGCUUUUUACAGCCAGUAAUUCAAUAAUAAUUUAUCUGCCUCAGCCACUAGAUGGAGCACCAUCUCUUUUUCAGCAUCUCACUCAUGUUCUUUACUCAAGUUGCCCUUCCAGUUUUGAUGCGAGUGCUGAAUUGUUGGUAACUUGUGUCUUGGCCUGUUUUUUGCAAUUUACAAAGAUUGUAAAGCAUUUGCUCAUCACCACGAGUUCGAAAGGACGCUGUGAUAGCUGUCUGGCCAAACAUGAGUCAUCAGGACCUGUGAAUACAUCUUCAGAAAAAAGUGUUCCAUCUCUCAGAACAUGUCUAUUUCGUCACUUAAUCACAACACUUGAUUCAAGUCCAGACUCCAGAGGUUUCAUGGACAGGUUCAUGGAAGGCACGCUACUGGUCACCACAGAGAGGUGUAGAGAGGUUAGAGCGGUCAGAGCUUGUGCUAUGUUUAGAAGUGGGGCUACUGGGGACCUGAUAGGGGUCUGGAAGAGGACGCCCCUCCACCUCUGCAAGCAUACAUUCUUGAUACAGGUA